rnacentral:sRNA from 1 species
UCGCAGGUUCGAAUCCUGCACGACCCACCAAUAUACAAGGUGGUAACUGGUAGAGAACGUGAAGGAUAAUGUUGCUUUAGCAACGGCCCGAAGGGCGAGGCGAAGCCGAGUCAUCCUGCACGACCCACCA